rnacentral:tRNA from 1 species
GUCCCCGUAGCUCAGCCGGAUAGAGCAGCAGUUUCCUAAACUGCGGGUCGGAGGUUCGAUUCCUCUCGGGGACGCCA